rnacentral:rRNA from 1 species
UCUAGUGGCGCACGGGUGCGUAACGCGUAUGCAACUUACCUUCUACUGGGGAAUAACACUAGGAAACUGGUGCUAAUACCGCGUAAUAAGUUAUAAGGCAUCUUAUGAUUUUAAAAGAAUUUCGGUAGAAGAUGGGCAUGCGUGUCAUUAGUUAGUUGGUGAGGUAACGGCUCACCAAGACGACGAUGACUAGGGGUUCUGAGAGGAAGGUCCCCCACACUGGUACUGAGAUACGGACCAGACUCCUACGGGAGGCAGCAGUAAGGAAUAUUGGGCAAUGGACGAGAGUCUGACCCAGCCAUGCCGCGUGCAGGAUGAAGCUCCUAGUGGGUGUAAACUGCUUUUAUCAGGGAAGAAAAAGCUCCUGCGGGAGUAACUGACGGUACCUGAUGAAUAAGCACCGGCUAACUACGUGCCAGCAGCCGCGGUAAUACGUAGGGUGCAAGCGUUGUCCGGAUUUAUUGGGUUUAAAGGGUGCGUAGGUGGUCUAAUAAGUCUUGGGUGAAAGUCUGCGGCUCAACCGUAGAAUUGCCUGCGAUACUGUUAGACUUGAGUGUGGUUGAGGUAGCUGGAAUUGGUGGUGUAGCGGUGAAAUGCAUAGAUACCACCAGGAACACCAAUUGCGAAGGCAGGUUACUAAGCCACAACUGACACUAAUGCACGAAAGCGUGGGGAGCGAACAGGAUUAGAUACCCUGGUAGUCCACGCCGUAAACGAUGAAGACU